rnacentral:rRNA from 1 species
GACGACGCUGGCGGCGUGCCUAACACAUGCAAGUCGAGCGGUCUUAUAGCGAGAAGUGACUUGUCACUUCAUGCUAUAAGAUAGCGGCGGACGGGUGAGUAACACGUGGGUAACCUGCCUUAUACAAAGGGAUAACACCGGGAAACCGGUGCUAAUACCAUAUAACAUAUAUAUCAGGCAUCUGAUAUAUAUCAAAGGCAUAUCGUAAAGGUAAGCCGGUAUAAGAUGGGCCCGCGUCCGAUUAGCUAGUUGGUGGGGUAAAAGCUUACCAAGGCAACGAUCGGUAGCCGGACUGAGAGGUUGACCGGCCACAUUGGGACUGAGACACGGCCCAGACUCCUACGGGAGGCAGCAGUGGGGAAUAUUGCGCAAUGGGGGGAACCCUGACGCAGCGACGCCGCGUGAAGGAAGAAGGUCUUCGGAUCGUAAAGCUCUGUCCUUGGGGAAGAAGGCGAAAGCUUGACGGUACCCAAGAAGAAAGCCCCGGCUAACUACGUG